rnacentral:rRNA from 1 species
AAUUAUUAAGGAAUUUGUUUUAUUUGUUUAACAUAUAAGAAGUGUAAAUUAAAUAAAUUUUUGUUAUUGUAAAAUAAAUUGACAAAAUAAAUUUUACUAUAGUGAAUAAGUAAUGUGGAUGAAAAUUAAUUAAAAUUUUAAUUAUAUAAUAAAAAAAAGUUAACUUGUGAAGUUGUAUCUUGUGUAUCAGAGUGUAUUAAAAUGAAUUAUUUAUUUUUUUUUCUCGAACUUAAAAGAUUUAAUUAAAAAUAUUCUAGUUAUUAUAUCAUAAAUAUUUGAAAUUUUUAAUUGGAAAUGAAAUGUUAGUCGUUUUUAAAGAUAUCUAGUUUUUUAAUAAAUGAAUUUAAUUUUGAGAAUAUGAGUUAUUGAAUAUUUUUAUAUAAAAUAUUUGAUAUUCUUAAUUUAAAGGGGGAAAAACUUUUUUAAAAAUAUUUAUAAUUAUUUAUUAAAGAUUUAAGGAUUUUAUUAAUUUAGAAUUUGUUACUAAUUUAAGGAUGUUAAAAUUUAAUUCUUAUUUUAUGUGAAUUUUUAAUUAUUAUUUAAUUUUUAUAUUAAAAUGUUUAAUUUAAUUAAGAAAUUUAAGGAAGUAUGAUUUAAUUAGUAAAAUAAUUUUGUAUCUAUAAAAAAAUAUAAAUAUUGAGAUAAAGAAUUAGGCAAAGUUUUCUACUCGCCUGUUUAUUAAAAACACGGUUUCUUGAAGAGUUUUUAAGAGAUUUAACCUGCCCGCUGAAUUUGUUUUGAAGGGCCGCAGUAAUUUGACUGUGCAAAGGUAGCAUAAUCAAUAGUCUUUUAAUUUAGGGCUUGUAUGAAUGGUUGGACGAAGUGGAUUCUGUUUUAUUUUAAAUUAAUUGAACUUAAAUUUUAAGUAAAAAGACUUAAAUAGUAUUAAGGGACGAGAAGACCCUAUAGAAUUUUAUAUGAAAAAUAAUUGAUUAAGUUUAUAAAAAAAGAUUAAUUGUUAUGUAUCAUAUUUGGUUGGGGUGGUGAGAAAAUAGAAUAAACUUUUCUUUGAAUUGAAUAUUAUAUUUAGUGAAAUGAUCCAUAAUAAAUGAUUAAAAGAUUAAAUUACCUUAGGGAUAACAGCAUGAUUUUUUUUGAGAGUUCAUAUUGAGAAAAGAGAUUAUGACCUCGAUGUUGGAUUAAGAUUAUUUAUGGGAGUAGGUGCUCAAUAAGUAGGUCUGUUCGACCUUUAAAAUCUUACAUGAUCUGAGUUUAAACCGGUGUAAGCCAGGUUGGUUUCUAUCUUUAAUUUUAUAAAGUAUUUUAGUACGAAAGGACCAAGUAUUUAAAAUAAUUUUAAAUUAAUUGAAUUUUAUUAAUAAGUUAAA